UACAGAGGGUGCAAGCGUUGCUCGGAAUUAUUGGGCGUAAAGGGUUGGUAGGUGGUCUUUUUUGUCUGAGGUGAAAGCCUUGAGCUUAACUCAAGAAGUGCCUCAGAAACGGUAGGACUAGAGUCCUGGAGAGGGUCGUGGAAUUCCCGGUGUAGCGGUGAAAUGCGUAGAGAUCGGGAGGAACACCAGAGGCGAAAGCGGCGACCUGGAAAGGAACUGACACUCAACUACGAAAGCGUGGGGAGCAAACAGG
rnacentral:rRNA from 1 species